GACGUAGGGCGCGAGCGUUGUCCGGAUUUAUUGGGCGUAAAGGGCGCGUAGGCGGCCAUGCGUGUCUUCCGUGAAAUCCCUCGGCUUAACUGAGGACGUGCGGAAGAAACUGCAAGGCUCGAGUCCGGGAGAGGGGGGUGGAAUUCCCAGUGUAGCGGUGAAAUGCGUAGAUAUUGGGAGGAACACCGGUGGCGAAGGCGGCCCCCUGGACCGGUACUGACGCUGAGGCGCGAAAGCGUGGGGAGCAAACAGG
rnacentral:rRNA from 1 species